rnacentral:lncRNA from 1 species
CAAAUGGAAUGAUCAAAGCACUUGCAAGUGAAGAAGCAGCACAACUCUUUGUUUUGGAUUAUUCCUAGCAGAGAGGCUCCAACAAUUUUGCAGACGGACUCCCGGGCCUCUGGAACCCGUACUACGUCCUUCACGUUCAGGAGCAGAGAGCCUUUGCGAAACAGAUUCCUGAUAGUGGAGGUAAGCCAAGGCAACGCUACCACUGUCUCAGACUUCUUAGAUGUGAGUGUGAACAUUUGAAGUGUUCGUAUACAAUGUUGCCACCUCUAGCAGGUGACUUUAUUUUUUAAUUAUUUUUUAAAAAAUAUUUAUUUUUUUGGGAGAGCACAAGCAGGGGAGGGGCAGAGAGUGGGGGACAGAGGAUCUGAAGCUGGCUCUGUGCUGACAGGCUGACAGCAGUGAGCCUGAUGUGGGACUUGAACCCAUGAAUCGUGACAUCACGACCUGAGCCAAAGUCAGACACUUAACUGACUGAGCCACCCAGGCGCCCCAUCCUCUCCUUCUUUAUAUACAGCUGUCUGUUAAUUUAUCUCUUAUUAGUUCAACAUGUGGCCAGAAGGCCCAUGAGACUAUUAAAGUAACCAGUGACUGGUCAGCACAUCCCAAAGUUAAGCUAU